GGGUAUUCCAACCUACACAUCACAAAUAAUUAAAAGUUUAACGGCUAAAAGCCCUCAAAAAUAUAUACCAAAAGGACCAUGAAGCAAGAUUAUUCUUGUUUAGAAAUUUCAGAGAAACUCCCACUUCCAAAACACCCAAGACCCCUGAUACCUCCGGAAGAAACAAAAAAACAGGACCAGAACUGAGUCGCCUACUGGAACAAAAAAACAAGACCCCUGAUACCUCCGGAAGAAACAAAAAAACAGGACCAGAACUGAGUCGCCUACUGGAACAUAGCUGUGUAAGAUUGAUAUAUUUAUUAACCCCGCCAAAAGAACAAAAUAAACACGCCACACAAAACAAACAACCCUUCACGAACCAAAGUACCGAGGCUAUAAUCUUUAGAACCAACAAGCCUAAAAAUUUCAAAAGGACAAUCAUCACAGGUUCGAUUAUAAUCAGUAAAUCCGUUAGGCUACAAUAAAUUAGAACUUACGCCCACUUGGGGUCAGGGGCACCACGGAUCAGCCCAGGUUUGAUUAUCACAUUGCUGCAGCAGUUCUUUUAAUCAUGUCUUACCUACAUUACAAGUUAACUUCACGGUCCCUAAACAUUGAUGUGUAAGAAAGCUGGAACGGUCGUCCUUUUUAGGUCGGGUCUGAACAACCACGAAGCG
rnacentral:lncRNA from 1 species